CGUGGAGUAGCUCAGCGGUAGAGCACCUGGCUCGGGACCGGGAGGGCGCGGGUUCGAAUCCCGCCUCCAUGUCGA
rnacentral:tRNA from 1 species